rnacentral:rRNA from 1 species
GUAGGUGGCAAGCGUUGUCCGGAAUUAUUGGGCGUAAAGCGCGCGCAGGCGGUUCUUUAAGUCUGAUGUGAAAGCCCACGGCUCAACCGUGGAGGGUCAUUGGAAACUGGGGAACUUGAGUACAGAAGAGGAAAGCGGAAUUCCACGUGUAGCGGUGAAAUGCGUAGAGAUGUGGAGGAACACCAGUGGCGAAGGCGGCUUUCUGGUCUGUAACUGACGCUGAGGCGCGAAAGCGUGGGGAGCAAACAGGGAUUAGAUACCCUGGUAGUCCACGCCGUAAACGAUGAGUGCUAAGUGUUAGGGGGUUUCCCGCCCCUUAGUGCUGCAGCUAACGCAUUAAGCACUCCGCCUGGGGAGUACGCCGCAAGGCUG